rnacentral:rRNA from 1 species
GAUGAACGCUAGCGGCAGGCUUAACACAUGCAAGUCGAGGGGUAUUGGUUUUCGGACCAAGAGACCGGCGCACGGGUGCGUAACGCGUAUGCAAUCUACCUUUUGCAGAGGGAUAGCCCAGAGAAAUUUGGAUUAAUACCUCAUAGUAUAGUACUUUGGCAUCAAGGAACUAUUAAAGUCACAACGGCAAAAGAUGAGCAUGCGUCCCAUUAGCUAGUUGGUAAGGUAACGGCUUACCAAGGCUACGAUGGGUAGGGGUCCUGAGAGGGAGAUCCCCCACACUGGUACUGAGACACGGACCAGACUCCUACGGGAGGCAGCAGUGAGGAAUAUUGGACAAUGGGCGCAAGCCUGAUCCAGCCAUGCCGCGUGCAGGAUGACGGUCCUAUGGAUUGUAAACUGCUUUUAUACAGGAAGAAACACGU